rnacentral:tRNA from 1 species
GCCCCGGUAGCUCAGUUGGAUAGAGCAGCGGACUUCUAAUCCGCAGGUCGCAGAUUCGAGUUCUGCCCGGGGCG